AAUUCUCAACCUAUAAAUCCUUGUGGUUUUUAGGCUUGGACUUGGAGGCUUUUGCUGGCUUUACCGUCGGCUCCUCUUAAAUGCAUUAGCUUGAUUCCUUGCUGAUCGGCUCUCAGUGUGAUAAUUAUCUGCGCUGUGACCGUGAAGCGUUUGGCGAGCUUCUAACCGUCUCUUUGAGACAAACACUUUGAC
rnacentral:misc_RNA from 1 species